GAGACGUCCUUCCGCAGCCCCGCCGGGGCUCGGGGCGGCCCGCCGGCUCGGGCCCGGGCUGUGCGCCGCUGUGAGCAGCGCUGUGCGGCCGUGGGGUGCUGACCGCGGCUCCCCCGCCGGCACAGCUCCGGCAGGUCCAGCCUCUCCGGGGAUUGCCCUUGCGGCUGGGGGCGAGAUGGUCAACCCACUACAAUGUCAAAUGCAGAAGUAAGAGAAGCCCUUUUCUGCCCUUUGAUGGAUAGCAUCUCUGCACACCGGAAAAGAUUGCACUGGCCUUCUUGGCAACACGAUUUCAGAGGGCUCUGGGGCUCAGCUGGGGCUCUAUCAGGACCCACAAUUCAUUCUUCAGUCUCAGCUUCCCAAACAAUUCUUAUGUGAGGCUGUGACACUGGCAGACUUCCAGAAUAAGCCAAUUUCAGAAGAGUGGAGCCUCCAAAUAUGAUCUUCUGUCAGUCACAGAGAUUUCAGCUCCAGGGGAGGAAAGAUUCAUCUAGCAGCUUAUAAUCACUACUGCACAGAUGGUGAAAGAGGUGCUACAAUAGCAACUCCCAACCUGUGCUGAAACAAUCAAAAUGCUUCAGAGUUUCCAGAGCUAUCCCCAUUCUGGGCUUUCACAGAGAGAAAUCAGCAGUGAGGCUGACAGUCACCCCAGAUUUUUGGGCUCUUCCUGCAGGACAGACCGGCCGUCUCCAGAGCAGUUCCUGGCAGAUGAUCUGCUCUCUCCAGCCCAUUGUAGGGUGACAGAUUUCCACGGCUCAGCCUGGACAGUGUGCUGAGGUAUGUGAAGGCUUCAGCUUGCAAAGCCAUGGUCAGAGGGAAAGUUUAUAACCAAGGUGUUAUAUAACCCAAGCUCCCCUGGGGUUUUCAUCUCCAUAGGACCCAGUGCCAGCUGCAGAAAGAGGGGAUUUUGGGAAAAGGUUAGUUGUAAAUUACCGAGGGGAGUUCCUCAACAUCAGAUUUGGGACCCAGAACCAGAAUGUCUGCAUGAAAUCAAAUCACCCAGAUAUACUGGCUAGCUGUGAUAAUAAAUAGACCUGAAUGUAUUCAAAACAACUAAAAGACUGUUGUUAUUUAGGUAGAGUGAUCUUCACAGCCUUUUUCUAACCUGACUAAUCAACUCCCCAAGUUUCUUUCUACAAAAUCAUAUAAAGGAGUAUACUGUGUCUAUAACAAACCUGAGUCAUUUGGGUGGUCCUGAUAAUGAGAUACUUCAUUAGAUAUGAGCUUUAGUUUUGGUGCAUUCUGUGGCUCCUGCCAACACCUUAAGAAGAUUACCAUUUUUGGUAAGGACUGAAAACAUUAAAGGAAAACUGAAAAGAGAGCAAGUUCUUUCAAGAGAAUAAAGCUGAUGCUGUGGGCAAUUGGAAUGGACUACAUCAGCUUUCAGAGAUUAAAGAGAAAAACUGCAAAGAAGAUUUACCAGUUGAAACUCUUUGUCAUUAGAGAUCCCCAUUUUUACCAUCAAAAUAAAAUUAAUUUAAAAAAUGAAGCUUUGUGUGCGUUUGCUUAGGACUAAGAACAAGCAACCAUUCCUCCACCUACUGCUCAGCUGCUGCUUUAUAUAAUGAAUGACUACUCAUUUUUAACAUUUUUGGUAUCUUACCUAAAUAAAAAAAAAUGAAAGGGCAAUAUUCAUUCAAAGAAACAGCUGCCCAUCUUGAUACCUGUAAUUGUCUGUUAAUAUUAUGGGCAAAAAUGUAAUAGUCAGGCAGUCAGUAGUUCCUUAUUACAAUUAUGAGCAAAGUUAAUUGACUUUGUGAUGUUAAGGUUGACUAACUGUGUUAGUCAAGGGAAACACUGUUUUUUGUUGUUUAUAACCUUAUCAGACUCCAACAAACUGAAUUGAAAUACCCCUGCCAGACAUCUGUCUCAGCCUCAUUUUGUGUGUUUCCUUUUGGAAAAAUUCAGCUUAAAUGGUGCUUUGGGCAGAAAAAAAACCCAAAAAAAAGACAACAGAGUCUGGUUUUGACCUCAUGUGUCAUUGGUGGCUCUUUAAGCCCUGUGCUUAAACAGAAAAAAAAAGAAAAAAGAAAAAAAAAAAGAAAGAAAAAAAAAAAAUUUUUUUUUCUACCACUGGAGAAAUAUUUUUGGUGGCCCCAUGAAACAAAUCUACCUGGCCUACCCUAGUGCUACCAAAAUAAGAGGCCUCUGCAGUGACCAUGUUCUGCCAAGAGCUACUAAGGCUAAGCAGGAUUUUCUGCACUUUACAAGGGAUGUUGUAGAAAUGCCAGACAAGAACCAUUUCCAAUUCUCCCUUCUGGACUCUCCUGUCAAUCUACAUUAUCAGAUAGGUAUAAAUUGACAGUAAAGGUGCAUGUUUCUCUUGCUUUAAUAAAGUGUCCAAGUUACUGGAUCAUUGAUCUUCCUCUGCAUUUUUCUCAAUGUCUCUUGCAUGAUUAUGAAGAGAUAACGACAAAGAGGUCAAAAUGACUUCAGUAUAAAUUCAGGUUUAAGGUUAUUUGUUAAUAAAACUGAAGUCCUUACUUUGGACAAAAGGGCUAAUAACAUAAACCCACACAGCCAGCACCCUGUACAAAAUGGAAUUACUAAGGGAGGAAAAAACCUAAA